AUACAUGGGAAUAGACAUGAAUCAACCACAAAUAUACAUGCGACAAGGGAAAAUCAAGUUCGUUCUAUUUGCCUAAUUUUCCUAAAGGGAGAUUCGCAAUUACCAUUCACUCUAUGGGGGAAUGGGCCACGAAUUGACAUGUAUGUUCAUGCCAACGGAAAAAUGACAACAAACCUAUCUUCUAGGGCAAUUUGACAGGUACCGGGCUCAUAACAAACCAUCAUCACCAGAAAAAUAGACGGAAGAUCGUAAAUUACAUACUAGCAUUUGUUGUUUCUCACAUCACACUACAUUUCCCAAGUGCAACAUUCAUAGCAAUCAAUACAAAGCCCUAAUUCAUAGCAAUCAAUAUAAAGCCCUAAGAAGGGUAAUGCCAAUUGACCGUUCACCCAACACGAUGACCAAACGACCAAUUCAAGUUCUUUUUCUCUAUCACCUAACUUAUAACAUUACUUUGAACCAACUUAAGUACAACAGAUGUAUCUAUUCUCUCUUUACAUUGUGAAGCGCAACUUGUCAAACUCCAGGACACACCCCUUCCGAUUACCUCCCAAACAAGUUCAACUUUUUAACUACAAACUUCUCACACAGCUAAAAAUUUGUUGAAACAAAUACAACAAUUUUUUUCUUCACCGUCUAUAUAUAUAGAAGUACAACCUUA